AGGUCACCAAAGUGAAAACAGAUCGCCC
rnacentral:piRNA from 1 species